CUCUGAAGGAGAAGGACGUGCCAGUCGCUUGAAGGAUUCUUUUUCCCGCUAAAGCAUCGAUUAUAAGUAUUGACGGGCGGGGAUGGCGGGUGGAGGCAGACUGAUGGGCCAGGUGAGCCAAGGUGUGCAGUGAGCCACCAAUGAGAUGGACGGGCGUAGUGUGUUGCCUCGUCGCCGCCCGCCUGUACCGACUCCGAUGCACGCGGGCAAAUUAAUCAUUGGCGUCGAGGUGGUUCUGCUGAGGUGACUGGAUGGUUAAGCUGACACCAAGAUUGUUUUAAGUGACCUUCUCAAGGACCUGCUGACAUUGAGGAGAGCUACUCAAGCUCUGGAACAAGUUUGGAGCUUAAAGACAAGUCUUCUACUCAGAUUUGAGAUAAGCAUGUUGAGUAUAUUCAUGUUAAUGUUGGUUUUGAACUUUUUUCUUGAUGGGCAAAGUUUAGAGGGUCAACAUUUCCAUGGAUAGUGUUUCUUGGGGGUGAAGUUUAUUUGUCUGAGUAUAUUGUAGAUUUGAAGGGAAACUCACCUUUAUGAAUGAGGUACAUAUGCAUACUAUCCUUGCUACACCCCAUGCAUCUCAAAUACAUAAGCUUCCCUGCCUCAGUUCUACAUUUGAGUUUUUCCAUAAGCCAAUUUCAAUCCCAUCCCACUUGCAAAUGUAAAAUCAUCUCAUAUUAUGCAAAGCUCAUACCCCUUUAAUGACAGGCCCUGGGAAGCUUCUCUUUUUUGAUGCACCACUUUUCUUCCACCUUUCUUCUGGUUGCAACUAAUGAGUGGUCAGGCUUAAGUGACUAAACUAACCUAUAAAUGUUAUUUCAUUUAUCUGUCAAGCCAGAUUCAACUUGAAAGCUAACUUUCUCUUCCAUAACUCACCAUCUGGAGUAGUGCUCCACCAGUAACUGAUCCAGCAGUUCACAAACACGAUAAAGCCGAGAGAGGAAGGCAUAGUGUUUGUAGAUUCCAUAGUUUACAAAUUCCAAGUCUAAAGGAAGGCCGGAUCAUCGGUGUUAUAUCUGGGAAUUAAAACAUCAGUCAUGAUAGAUCUGCACAAAAACAAUGGAAAUCAGGGAUAUAGAGAUCAUUCUCUCUGCAGUUCUGUAGCCCUGCCCAUGGCUAAAAGUCAACCUGAUCCAAGGGCUUGCAACCCCUCCAUAUAGAACCAUAUAGAACUAUAACCCCUCUCGACUUUUAAGAAGUAGAGGUCAGGAUUGAGGCUCCAGUGGCUACCACAACCUGGUUCUGUUUGGAGGCCUGACCAUGCACUGGGCUUCCUUGGUGCAUCUGCAUCAAAUAAGCUUCCCGCCUAGGACAGGUAUAGAGUAAAGCCUGUGGGACUCUUGUAUCCUGAAAGGGGGCCUAUUAGCCUCCCCCCCGUUUUUUUUUUAGAUUUUGUCAAUGAUACGGUAAUCCUCACAGCUGCUGGAGGUUCCAGUGAUGGCUCUCAAUGAACUUAAAGGGAGAUGCCAUUGGGACUUUGGUCUCCUUGGCAAAGAUUAAAACACAAGUGCCCUGCCCUAUGCCCC